UAGAGUUUGACCAUGGCUCAGGAUGAACGCUAGCUACAGGCUUAACACAUGCAAGUCGAGGGGCAGCAUUCUUUGUAGCAAUACAAAGAGAUGGCGACCGGCGCACGGGUGCGUAACGCGUAUCCAACCUUCCCGUUACUCUUGGAUAGCCUUCCGAAAGGGAGAUUAAUACAAGAUGGUGUUUCAAAUUCGCAUGGGCAUGAAACUAAAGAUUUAUCGGUAACGGAUGGGGAUGCGUUCCAUUAGGUAGUAGGCGGGGUAACGGCCCACCUAGCCUUCGAUGGAUAGGGGUUCUGAGAGGAAGGUCCCCCACACUGGAACUGAGACACGGUCCAGACUCCUACGGGAGGCAGCAGUGAGGAAUAUUGGUCAAUGGCCGGAAGGCUGAACCAGCCAAGUAGCGUGAAGGAUGAAGGUUCUAUGGAUUGUAAACUUCUUUUAUACGGGAAUAAAGUGAGUUACGUGUAGCUUAUUGCAUGUACCGUAUGAAUAAGAUCGGCUAACUCCGUGCCAGCAGCCGCGGUAAUACGGAGGAUGCGAGCGUUAUCCGGAUUUAUUGGGUUUAAAGGGAGCGUAGACGGGCGAUUAAGUCAGCUGUGAAAGGGUGCGGCUCAACCGUAGCAUUGCAGUUGAUACUGGUCGUCUUGAGUGCGUUUGAGGUACGUGGAAUUCGUGGUGUAGCGGUGAAAUGCUUAGAUAUCACGAAGAACCCCGAUUGCGAAGGCAGCGUACCAAACCGUAACUGACGUUGAUGCUCGAAAGUGUGGGUAUCAAACAGGAUUAGAUACCCUGGUAGUCCACACGGUAAACGAUGAAUACUCGCUGUUGGCGAUAUACUGUCAGCGGCCAAGCGAAAGCAUUAAGUAUUCCACCUGGGGAGUACGCCGGCAACGGUGAAACUCAAAGGAAUUGACGGGGGCCCGCACAAGCGGAGGAACAUGUGGUUUAAUUCGAUGAUACGCGAGGAACCUUACCCGGGCUUAAAUUGCGCAGGACAGGCGGUGAGAGCCGCUCUUCUUCGGAUCUGCGUGAAGGUGCUGCAUGGUUGUCGUCAGCUCGUGCCGUGAGGUGUCGGCUUAAGUGCCAUAACGAGCGCAACCCUUGCCGUCAGUUACUAACAGGUCAUGCUGAGGACUCUGACGGGACUGCCAUCGUAAGAUGUGAGGAAGGUGGGGAUGACGUCAAAUCAGCACGGCCCUUACGUCCGGGGCUACACACGUGUUACAAUGGGAGGUACAGAAGGCCGCUACCCGGCGACGGGACGCCAAUCCCCAAAACCUCUCUCAGUUCGGAUUGGAGUCUGCAACCCGACUCCAUGAAGCUGGAUUCGCUAGUAAUCGCGCAUCAGCCACGGCGCGGUGAAUACGUUCCCGGGCCUUGUACACACCGCCCGUCAAGCCAUGAAAGCCGGGGGUACCUGAAGUGCGUUACCGCGAGGAUCGUCCUAGGGUAAAACUGGUGAUUGGGGCUAAGUCGUAACAAGGUAACC
rnacentral:rRNA from 1 species